AAUGUUUUAUACAUUUAUAUAUACAGUUAUUAUUUUUACUGUUCACAUUAUAAUUCACUUAAUAACCUUAUGAUCUCUGCUCUCUUUUUAACUGUCACUAUGACAAGGCUUUGGAGGUUGUUUUUACUUUUUCAGGAAUCAGGAAGGUCAGAGUGUUUUCAUCAACAGUGAGAGCUGUGAGGAGAAUGUGACCCUGAGUGGCAGAGAAGCUUCACUGCUGUUCUGCUGUUCUGGGACCAGUGCAUAUGAACUAGGAGACAACAAGUUAUCUGAGUGAAGUGCUGGAAACCUCUCCUCAGAUAGUCAGAAGAUCUUUACAUCCACUCUUUUCCUCUGUCUCAUCUUCUUACAGACUUUAGGACACUUAAGGACUGUCUGCUGUGUUCAUGAAGGACACAGUGCUGAACAACAUCAUGAUAAGAACCUGUUGCUCAGACAGGCUGGAGCGGAUCACGUCAUUAAAACUGGACAACAUGCUGUUAACUGGACUCUGCUGACGUAAUCAUAUUGAUAAGUUCUGUACAAUCACAUGUCAUUUGCAAAGUGUAUAACUGCUUGGAUGAAGUAUGAGGAGUUCUCUCUGUCCCUCGACUGGCUUUAGUUUCUUUCUCUCUCUCUCUCUCUGUUUCUUUCUUUCUCUCUCUCUCUCUCUCUCUCUCUCUCUCUAUGGGUUGCAAAUGUGUUGAUCUAUCGAGAUUUUAUUUGUUGAUGUACUUUUACUCUUUUCUAAUAUAUAUCUAUUAAUUUUUGUUCCGCCAUAUGCAGAAGAAAGGCCAGUUCCUGCAAGUUGCAGUAGAUACAAUAGAGUUAGAUACUGCAUUUAGGCUGGACCGUUUGUUUGAUGAAGGUAAAGAAAAUUAUCUGUAAAAAAUUAUUAUUGAUUCAGAAUCAAAGGGGGGAGUGUGAUGGAAGGUGUUUAUUGAAAUGAUUCAUAAUCAAUGACGUGUGAUGAUUCAUAAACAAUGACGACUAUUAAUGAUAUUACUUUUUGUUCCAUGCGAUGAUAAUGUGUACUCAGGAGCAUAUCUAAGAUGCUGAGUGAGAGUUUUUCUAUCUGGGGAAAGCAGUGUGUGUCUAUGUAUGUGUGCACGUCACGGAUUGUUCUGUCUACAAUUCUGGCGCCAGGGUCAUUUUUCCUUCUGCUUGCGGUGUUUUGAGAACCAGUCUGAUAUGCUCACUAAGGGAUUAUGUCAUACCACCUGUCAGAAGAAGUUGACGUGUCACAAUGGUGGCACUGUGCCCAUAAUUGGGAAGUAAGGGAUGGGAGGAUCUAAAAGGUAUAAAGAGAGCAUGGCACUCUUGCAAGGCAGGAGUUCACUCUGUAUUCAUUACGUGUGGCUUCUCAAUAAAUCUUGUUA